rnacentral:tRNA from 1 species
ACUCAGUUGGUAGAGUACAAAGAUCUUAACUUUAUGGACGUGGGUUCAAGCCCCAU